CUAACUACGUGCCAGCAGCCGCGGUAAUACGUAGGGGGCUAGCGUUAUCCGGAUUUACUGGGCGUAAAGGGUGCGUAGGCGGUCUUUCAAGUCAGGAGUGAAAGGCUACGGCUCAACCGUAGUAAGCUCUUGAAACUGGGAGACUUGAGUGCAGGAGAGGAGAGUGGAAUUCCUAGUGUAGCGGGGAAAUGCGUAGAUAUUAGGAGGAACACCAGUUGCGAAGGCGGCUCUCUGGACUGUAACUGACGCUGAGGCACGAAAGCGUGGGGAGCAAACAGGAUUAGAUACCCUGGUAGUCCACGCUGUAAACGAUGAGUACUAGGUGUCGGGGGUUACCCCC
rnacentral:rRNA from 1 species